AUAGCAUAGAUUAAGAAAUGAAUAGAUGGCUCACUCCUUUGAAGUUUUUGAUGCCACCGACAGGUGCAACUUCCGGUUGGCCGCCAUUACUCUGGCCAGUAAAGUGCAGCCAGAACGAAUAGAAAAUGUAUUGUGAAAUUGGCAUCGCGCGCAUAAAAACUUCAUUUUUACCGGUUUUGGACACCUGAAUUCAACGUUUACGGUCGGAAAUUAAAAUUAGAAAGGUAAGAAAGUAUUAUUAUCUGUUUUAUUAGCCCUGAAAGUGUUUUUUUUAAGUCAAAUUUUGUGCUCUUAAAUAUGGCUAGUUCGGCCAGCCAGACAUAAAAGAACAUAGCUUUUCGUCCCAUUUGCUGUAUGUUUUCAUUCGAAAGUAACAUGAAUAUUACUUCAAACGAAAUUUAUAAACUAUGAAAGUGACAAUCCAUGUACACUUUGACAAUUCAUGAACUCAUUCUUGCAAUAGAUAUACAGUAUCUCUGAUGUAUAUUACAGUGUCAGUAUAUAUGUCUUUUCAUCACCAUUUCUCUGCCAAGUUUAAUAAACAUGUCUUUUUAAGUUCACUGUUUUCUUGAAUUAGAUAUUUUUCUACUAAAUUUUGCCCAACUUAUUCAGAUGCAGCCCAGAUGGCAUCAAACUAUGUAGAAUAUAGUUUAUAAACUGUUAUAUGCAGGCUAGUUUAUAGAUGGCUAACUUUAAUUUAAUGUACUUUCUGCUCUUUCUUCCUUUUUUAGUUGAAGUUAGUUGAUGGUGUAAUAUAUACGCAUCCUCAGAAAAAGCUUUAACAUGUAGUCCAUAGGAAACUCUGUGCAAGAAUGGAAUGUGAUGGACACACUUUGGAGGCUCUUUAGCAAAUUAGCACCAAUUAACUAAUUUGGACCUAAGUUCUUUGUAUGUUUGCAUGGUGAUAAAAUAUAAUAGUUUUGUUUGUGGAAACACCACGUAAAUUUAUUAUUAAUAAUUAAUAAAUUUACGUGGUGUUUCCACAAACAAAACUAUUAUAAUUUGGACCUGUUAUACACAAAAACAUUUGACAGAAAGGAAAUGGCUGUGAUGACAAUCAGAGUUCUAGUCCUGGCUUUUAUUAGAAUUAGUACUGUACAUAUCAUUGUAUACAAAUCAGUGGCGCAGCCAGCCAACUUAGUCCCGCUAUGAGCGCAGCCAGUUGUCUAGAGCGCAGCCAGACAACUUAGUCCCACUAUGC